rnacentral:rRNA from 1 species
CGAACGGUGAUGCUCCAGCUUGCUGGAGUGGAUCAGUGGCGAACGGGUGAGUAACACGUGAGCAACCUGCCCCAAACUCUGGAAUAAGCGCUGGAAACGGCGUCUAAUACUGGAUACGAGACCAACCUGCAUGGGUAUGGUUUGGAAAGUUUUUCGGUUUGGGAUGGGCUCGCGGCCUAUCAGCUUGUUGGUGAGGUAAUGGCUCACCAAGGCGACGACGGGUAGCCGGCCUGAGAGGGCGACCGGCCACACUGGGACUGAGACACGGCCCAGACUCCUACGGGAGGCAGCAGUGGGGAAUAUUGCACAAUGGGCGAAAGCCUGAUGCAGCGACGCCGCGUGAGGGAUGACGGCCUUCGGGUUGUAAACCUCUUUCAGCAGGGAAGAAGCGAAAGUGACGGUACCUGCAGAAGAAGCACCGGCUAACUACGUGCCAGCAGCCGCGGUAAUACGUAGGGUGCGAGCGUUGUCCGGAAUUAUUGGGCGUAAAGAGCUUGUAGGCGGUUUGUCGCGUCUGCUGUGAAAAUCCGGGGCUCAACCCCGGACUUGCAGUGGGUACGGGCAGACUAGAGUGUGGUAGGGGAGACUGGAAUUCCUGGUGUAGCGGUGAAAUGCGCAGAUAUCAGGAGGAACACCGAUGGCGAAGGCAGGUCUCUGGGCCACUACUGACGCUGAGAAGCGAAAGCAUGGGGAGCGAACAGGAUUAGAUACCCUGGUAGUCCAUGCCGUAAACGUUGGGAACUAGGUGUGGGUCUCAUUCCACGAGAUCCGUGCCGCAGCUAACGCAUUAAGUUCCCCGC